rnacentral:rRNA from 1 species
CGGAGGGGGCUAGCGUUGUUCGGAAUUACUGGGCGUAAAGCGCACGUAGGCGGCUUUGUAAGUUAGAGGUGAAAGCCCGGGGCUCAACUCCGGAAUUGCCUUUAAGACUGCAUCGCUAGAACGUCGGAGAGGUGAGUGGAAUUCCGAGUGUAGAGGUGAAAUUCGUAGAUAUUCGGAAGAACACCAGUGGCGAAGGCGACUCACUGGACGACUGUUGACGCUGAGGUGCGAAAGCGUGGGGAGCAAACAGGAUU